UUUUUGUUAUUGUGCCUAAGCAAGGGAUGUGUCUAGCCCAACCUUUCUCACACCAUCUUUUUCCAAGAGCUGGGCUUCUCAGCCACUUUCCUGCUCACUAGGAGGAAAUUUUCCAGAAAGCCGCCUUCAGCAUUCUCAGUGGUCGGCCAUGCACUUCAUACUUAUCCUAUUCCUAGGGAUACAUUAUGCUCUGAGAGAUUCCAGAGCUCAGUCAGUGACCCAGCCUGACAGGCAGGUCACUAUUUCUGAAGGAAACGCUCUGGAACUGGCCUGCAACUAUUCCUAUGGUGGUUCGUUUUCUCUCUUCUGGUAUGUCCAGUACCCCAACCAAGGCCUCCAGCCUCUCCUCAAGUACAUUUCAGGAAAUACCCUGGUUCAAGGCAUCAAAGGCUUUGAGGCAGAAGCUAAGAAGAGUGAAUCUUCCUUCAACCUGAGGAAACCCUCUGUGCACUGGAGCGACUCAGCUGAGUACUUCUGUGUUCUGGUUGCCACAGUGACUGGGGCUGCAGGGGGAGCUGAACAUAAACUUUGUGAUAUUACAGGGAGGAGAACUGUGUCUGGGAGAUUUUGGAUUCUGACAUCGUACAAGCCAUGGUGCUCUUAUUCCACAGUGUGUAGGCUCCCAGGACUUGCUGAGCCAGCGUGGGUGAUAAAUACUUAAGUGGCUGAACUUAAGGAAUGUGACAUAGCACAGAAGAGGUUUGCUUUUCAUUCAUCAUUCUAUUU